GAGAAGCAGGUCUGCUAGGGCGGGGUUUCCCUCUUAUUUCAAGUCUGCACACUGGAGAGGAGCGGAGCGCGAGAAGAACGGACCAUCCUCGGCUGCGUGGGAACGUCGCCGGAGUCUUUGCAUUUUUCUUUUCGGUAUUUAUUUGCAAAAAAAAUGCACAGUUUUCUUCUCGCCUGUUGAAAAACCACGUACUGGCUGAGGUAGUAGUUUGUGCUGUUGGCUGGGUUGUGACACUGCCCGCUAUGGAGAUGACUGCGCAAGCUACUGCCUUGCUAGUGCUGGUGCCUCCGCUCCAGCCGACGGAGAAAUCCUCCCUCCCCGGUUCCCCGACGCUCUUUUAACGGGUAUUCGCAGGACUGGCGAUAAAUCUUGCCUGCAUCGGAUAUGCAAGUUUGACUAAUUUGCUAUGCACAUGUUAAAAUGUGCAGGGGUGAUGUGUGGAUUUGCUUAAGGGUUUUUUUCUUUCCAGCGGCAGCAGCUCCGGCGGACUGUAGAAAAGCAUGUAGGUCAACGGGACUGUUGCUAUGAGCAGAAGGGUGACGUGGCUCCUGCUGCCCACAGAGGUGUCCUACAAUACAUCUGCUCUGAUACGCACGGCUUCGUGGCUCCGUGUCCUUUGUUAAUACCGCUGCUGCUGCUGCUGCAUACCGUCGGAUGCUCCUCCUGUACUUGAACGCCUCUUUUUACGCAGCGCGCGGACCAUCAAUCUGCGCGUCUCAUCAUCUGCUUGUCACGCUAAAUCUGCUGCUGCUUCUUCCUAUGCGUGUGUGUCCGCAAACACAUGACCUGACCCCCCCACAGGCUUUUGGAGCAGCAGUGUCCUCCUCUUCCUCCUCCUCUUCCUCUCAGAGCUGAUGUCGGCCAUGCGUUUGUGAGUUAACCUUUUGAAAUCGUCCCUCGGCUGCCCGGCAGCAUCUGGCUGCUCUGGAGCACAUUAGGAUGUAGCCGUCAGGGGGUCUCGUGAUGGGGGGUGGCGACCAGAAUAUACAAUGAGCUUUGAUUGGCUGGCAGCACUGAGUCGAUGAGAUCGUGCAGGGGGGCUGCAGCAGUCCUGCCCCACAGCUCAUUCACUCCCUGACUGAAGAUUGAAUCCUGCUUUGACCUUCCAAGAAGACUCCCAUGAAAUAUUUAUGAGUUCACACUUGAUAGUGUGUUAUGAUGGAGUUAUGUUCAUCCUGGGCCACAGUUCUGCCCACUAGCAUCUGUGCCGAUAUUACACAAUGCAUUCUACUCCUGCUACUCAUCGUAGGUUGCACAGAAACAGUGUCUUUCCUUUUGCUUAGUAAAUAAACCGCUCAUUGUUGUCAUUCCUGUUGAGCAGAGCAGCUCCUGCAGGUCUGCAUUAUAUUCAAAUCAGUGUCUGUCUUGUGUAAGAAAUACAAGUAUUCCGGCCUCACGGGCAAAGCCAAACAUCAUUUAUCAUAUCCUGACUGUAAGGAGAGCCAGCCUAUGGAUCAGUGAGCAGCCCACACUGUCCCCCCCAUCCAUCUUGUGUCGAAGCUCUCGUUUGAGCUGGGCUGCAGAUAAAUCAUACCGGAGGCAGCCGAAGCCCCGAAGCAGUAAAUUAGAGCCUCCUGUGGAAAAUGUGCCCCCUCAGAUGGGUAUCACAGCUGCACCGCCGAAGCAGCCGCACCAUUGUCCUGACAGGACAGUCGACCGCAUGUGUGCGUUCUGUCAUCAAAUGGCUCCACGCAACGCCGCCUUUGUUUAUCUGACUGAAUAGUUAAAAUGUAAAAACACAGAAAUGCAGCCAUUUCUCCCAUUUAACAUCCAAACCCAAUCAAAUGUCACUUAAAAGACAACUCCAUAAUUCAGCCAAACUGUUGCUGAUUCAUGUUUGUUUAAAGCAACCUGCCAGUAAUAGCUGUACUUGUAAAUGCUGUUUUUUCAGAAUUUCACUACUAAUUGACUGAGCAGUCUGAAAAUAAUUAACACCAACAAGCGGAGUAGAAAUAAUUAGCAAGAAAUUGUUUGGCAACUGUUUUGAAAAUUGAUGAAUCGUUUUCGGCAUUUUUUUUUUCUGCAAACACUUUUACUUGUUAUUCACAUGUGAGGAAUUGCUGUUUAUAUUUUAUGUCUAGCAUUAUAUAAAUGAAAUAUCCUUUGGUUUUGGAUCACUAAUGAACAGUUUCACUCAUUUGCAUGGCGUAGAUUUGAAUGCCAGGAAUAAAACCUAUGUAAAAAUUAAUAUGUAAGAAAAAGCAACCUUUGUUCUCCUGUGAAAGGAUCCUUCAAGGCUGUGGCCUCGGUUAUCCCAUGUUGCAUUGCAGUGAAGUGCCAUGCCACCUUUCCAUUACAAGAGAUGAGUAUCUCGGUCCAAGCCUGCUCAGCAUCUCCCUCAGAUCUAUCCAUGGGUGGGGUGGGAGUGCUGUGACCUUGGAAAAACAAGCCGCCCACAGGAAUGAUUGUUUCAUCAUUGCCGUCAUCCAAUCUGGACCACACACACACACACGCGUGUGGAGAGUGGGAGUGGAGUGCCAGAUCAGUGCUGGCCGGCCUGAAGGAGGAUGCGACGCUGGCCUGUGGGGACCAGAUGGCCCUGCAGCUCCUGCAGAGGACCCAAGAGUGUGAGACUCCCACGACAGCACUUUAUCAUCUUCUAAAUGUGUGCUAAAGCAUUCACAAAGGUAUACAUGUAUGUAAUGCUCAAAUCGCCUCGCCUUUACAUGUGCAAUGGACAACAUAAAUGAUAACAAUGAUUAAAAAUGUCAUUGAUAAACA